rnacentral:lncRNA from 1 species
UCAGCUACAUAAACAUCUCUGGUUAGGUACUAAGGAUCAAUUACAAUAUUAUUCAAGUCAGCAAUAUGCUAUACCUGCAAUUAGUGUAUCGUUGGACAUGGUUACAGGCUGGUUCAGUCAGCCACUUAUGCUAUACCUGCAAUUAGUGUAUCGUUGGACAUGGUUACAGGCUGGUUCCAUCAGCCACUUAUGCUAUACCUACAUUAACACACUCCACUGGCUAUUUUUCUUCCACGUUUUUGCUCUUCCUUUCUAAGAGGACUAGUAGCACAUAAAAUUUGCUUACUGUUAGUUUUAUAAUAUAGUAAGUUUGUCAGUGUCAUACUAUUAGUGAUCGGCAUUGUAUGAUCGGAUUCGUUGCUAAUGUUGACCAAUUGGAGCACAGUUGGUCAGAUGCUUACAGGAGGAAAGAAAACAGAAGUUCGGAAGUGGGUUUAGAAUACCUGUCUGUCGUUAUAAUCCUGUGGUUAUUUCGUUAUGCAUUUACAGAUUACUGCAAACUUGUUAGACUUGGUCAUGGUAUUGAACUAAAACCACGAUACUUAUUUCGGGACGGAGGGAGUACUAGUUAUCUGACUAAUGCCUAUUUUGGAAUACAAACUGUACAUAAACCGCGGCACUGGAUCGGCAC